AUGACUGCUCCACUGCUGAAACUUUAAAGAGCAGUAGUUGACUAGGAGAUCUCAUCUGAUGCUGUUUCUUUCCCUUCAGACGCUCAGGCUAUGGCUUACUCACAUCUCCUCGUGGCAACUUUAAUUCUACUGCUGCUUAAAGAAUCCUAUGGUGAGAUCAUAAUGACUCAGCCAUCCUCUAGUGUCUCUGCUCAGCCAGGAGAAACAGUCAAAAUCCACUGUAAAGCCAGCAGCUCUAUUACUAGUAGCUAUAAAUAUCUCAACUGGUACCAGCAGAAACUUGGAGAAGCUCCUAAGCUCCUGAUAUACCGGGCAUCCUACCUGCAGUCUGGGAUUUCCAGUCGAUUCAGUGGCAGUGGCUCUGAACUUGAUUAUACACUGACCAUUAGUGACAUACAACCAGAAGAUGCAGGACAUUACUACUGCAAUCAGGGUUGGAAAAGCCCUUUCACACAGUGA